rnacentral:rRNA from 1 species
AACCCUUGCCAUUAGUUGCUACGAAAGGGCACCCGUAAUGGGACCUGCCCGGGUGGACAAACCGGGAGGAAGGUGGGGGAUGACGUCAAGUCCUCAUGGCCCUUAUGGGUAGGGCUACACACGUCAUACAAUGGCCGGUACAGAGGGCUGCCAACCGCGAGGGGGAGCCAAUCCCGUAAAACCGGUCGUAGUCCGGAUUGCAGUCUGCAACUCGACUGCAUGAAGUCGGAAUCGCUAGUAAUCGCGGAUCCAGCAUGUCGCGGUGAAUACGUUCCCGGGUCCUU